AUGAACGCUAGCUACAGGCUUAACACAUGCAAGUCGAGGGGCAGCAUGAACUUAGCUUGCUAAGUUUGAUGGCGACCGGCGCACGGGUGAGUAACACGUAUCCAACCUGCCGAUGACUCGGGGAUAGCCUUUCGAAAGAAAGAUUAAUACCCGAUGGCAUAGUUCUUCCGCAUGGUAGAACUAUUAAAGAAUUUCGGUCAUCGAUGGGGAUGCGUUCCAUUAGGUUGUUGGCGGGGUAACGGCCCACCAAGCCUUCGAUGGAUAGGGGUUCUGAGAGGAAGGUCCCCCACAUUGGAACUGAGACACGGUCCAAACUCCUACGGGAGGCAGCAGUGAGGAAUAUUGGUCAAUGGACGAGAGUCUGAACCAGCCAAGUAGCGUGAAGGAUGACUGCCCUAUGGGUUGUAAACUUCUUUUAUACGGGAAUAAAGUGAGGCACGUGUGCCUUUUUGUAUGUACCGUAUGAAUAAGGAUCGGCUAACUCCGUGCCAGCAGCCGCGGUAAUACGGAGGAUCCGAGCGUUAUCCGGAUUUAUUGGGUUUAAAGGGAGCGUAGGCGGACGCUUAAGUCAGUUGUGAAAGUUUGCGGCUCAACCGUAAAAUUGCAGUUGAUACUGGGUGUCUUGAGUACAGUAGAGGCAGGCGGAAUUCGUGGUGUAGCGGUGAAAUGCUUAGAUAUCACGAAGAACUCCGAUUGCGAAGGCAGCUUGCUGGACUGUAACUGACGCUGAUGCUCGAAAGUGUGGGUAUCAAACAGGAUUAGAUACCCUGGUAGUCCACACAGUAAACGAUGAAUACUCGCUGUUUGCGAUAUACAGUAAGCGGCCAAGCGAAAGCGUUAAGUAUUCCACCUGGGGAGUACGCCGGCAACGGUGAAACUCAAAGGAAUUGACGGGGGCCCGCACAAGCGGAGGAACAUGUGGUUUAAUUCGAUGAUACGCGAGGAACCUUACCCGGGCUUGAAUUGCAACUGAAUGAUGUGGAGACAUGUCAGCCGCAAGGCAGUUGUGAAGGUGCUGCAUGGUUGUCGUCAGCUCGUGUCGUGAGAUGUUGGGUUAAGUCCCGCAACGAGCGCAACCCUUAUCUUUAGUAGCCAGCGGUCAGGCCGGGCACUCUAGAGAGACUGCCAGGGAUAACCUGGAGGAAGGCGGGGAUGACGUCAAGUCAUCAUGCCCCUUAUGUCUUGGGCUACACACGUACUACAAUGGCUAUAGCAAAGAGAAGCGAGACAGUGAUGUGGAGCAAAACUCAAAAAAAUAGUCUCAGUUCGGAUUGAAGGCUGAAAUUCGCCUUCAUGAAGCUGGAAUUGCUAGUAAUGGCAGGUCAGCAUACUGCCGUGAAUACGUUCCCGGGCCUUGUACACACCGCCCGUCACACCAUGGGAGCCGGUAAUACCCGAAGUCAGUAGUCUAACCGCAAGGAGGACGCUGCCGAAGGUAGGAUUGGCGACUGGGGUG
rnacentral:rRNA from 1 species